rnacentral:misc_RNA from 1 species
UCCCCGUUGGCCGGGGCAGUCUCGCCUGAAAAAUACAACAGACGAUAAGGGUUGCGCUCGUUGCCGGACUUAACCGAACAUCUCACGACACGAGCUGACGACGGCCAUGCAGCACCUGUCACCGGUCCAGCCGAACUGACCCCCUGAUCUCUCAGGGGUGCGACCGGGAUGUCAAGGGUGGGUAAGGUUCUUCGCGUAGCUUCGAAUUAAACCACAUGCUCCACUGCUUGUGCGGAUCCCCGUCAAUUCCUUUGAGUUUUAGCCUUGCGGCCGUACUCCCCAGGCGGGACACUUAACGCGUUAGCUUCUCAGCCCAAAGGGUCGAUACUUCAGACUAAUAGUGUCCAUUGUUUACGGCGUGGACUAC